rnacentral:lncRNA from 1 species
CGCCUAAAUUAUUCACAUAAACUAGGGCAAAACAUCAAACGAAAUCACUACUCGUUCUUCAUAAAUAUCGCAAAAUCUUUGCAUCAUUUAAUCACACAUCAAUACUCGCGACAAAAAAUAAGCAAUCUAAUCAUGCCGGUGCAUCCGAUUAAAAAGGGAGUAUCCAACACAUAACGUCGAAGAUAACAAAUCACUGUACAGUCUCAAUCCACAAUUUAUGGCGAUUUCG